AUUAAAAACCAAUGCCCUCUGGGCUCUUUGGUGAUUCAUGGUAACUGGUCGAAUCGCAUGGCCUUGCGCCGGCGAUGGUUCAUUCAAAUUUCUGCCCUAUCAACUUUCGAUUGUUGGGCAUUGGCCAACAAUGGUGACAACGGGUAACGGAGGGUUAGGGCUCGACCCCGGAGAAGGAGCCUGAGAAACGGCUACUACAUCCAAGGAAGGCAGCAGGCGCGCAAAUUACCCAAUCCUGAUACAGGGAGGUAGUGACGAUAAAUACUGAUACAGGGCCCUUUUGGGUCUUGUAAUUGGAAUGAGUACAAUUUAAAUCCCUUAACGAGGAACAAUUGGAGGGCAAGUCUGGUGCCAGCAGCCGCGGUAAUUCCAGCUCCAAUAGCGUAUAUUAAAGUUGUUGAGGUUAAAAAGCUCGUAGUUGAACCUUGGGCCUGGCUGGUCGGUCCGCCUCACCGCGUGCACUGAUCCGGCCGGGCCUUUCCCUCUGUGAAACCCCAUGGCCUUCACUGGUUGUGG
rnacentral:rRNA from 1 species